CCCUUCUCGCAACCCCGCGAGCCUACUAGUAGCAGAUUUCAUGCUUCAUCAGCUGGCGCCGUCUGUGGGACUAUCGAACUACGAUAUCCCGUCGUAAUCGCGAAAUUUUUUUCGCAAAGUUCGGCUUGAUUCCUUUCCGGUGAAUCGCUGACUUUGUGUCAAAGAAUCGUCGAUUCAUACAGAAAAUCGCUAGCUAAGAGUAUUGUCCACGGCUUGGUUCAAAAAAGGCCAUGAGUUGAAUCGCCGAUUCCACGUAGGGAGUCGUCGAUUCCUUUAGCUUUUUGAGCAAGUGCAGUCAAUGCCUUUUGCUCUGGUACUUUCACUUUCAUAUACGUUGGAUUUUUUAUAGAAAAUCAUCUAUCCUCGUCUGAAUCGUCGAUUCCCAUUUGAAUCGACGAUUUCCAACUGAAUCGCCGAUUCCCACACUUAAAUUGUCGAUUCCUUCAUCGUCUUCAUUCAUCGCUUUGGCUGAAUAAGACCACUCAUAGCCCAGCUCUUUGACCGAAACGGAAAUCCAUUGCUUUGGCUGGAUUCGUCUCGUCGUUUCAGUAAAAAAAAAGUAUGGGGCUUUUCACCUUUUUUCACUUCCAGUAAUUCUGUCGGUCCACCUCUGGAAUACCCAUAUCUGAUUUUGGGAUUCUAUGACCACACAUCACGUGAAAAAAGUUUUCUCUACGAGUACAAAAAAGCAGAAUUUCCCAACAGUGC
rnacentral:lncRNA from 1 species